AUUGAACGCUGGCGGCAGGCCUAACACAUGCAAGUCGAGCGGAUGAAGGGAGCUUGCUCCUGGAUUCAGCGGCGGACGGGUGAGUAAUGCCUAGGAAUCUGCCUGGUAGUGGGGGAUAACGUCCGGAAACGGGCGCUAAUACCGCAUACGUCCUGAGGGUGAAAGGGGGGGAUCUUCGGACCUCACGCUACCAGAUGAGCCUAGGUCGGAUUAGCUAGUUGGUGGGGUAAAGGCCUACCAAGGCGACGAUCCGUAACUGGUCUGAGAGGAUGAUCAGUCACACUGGAACUGAGACACGGUCCAGACUCCUACGGGAGGCAGCAGUGGGGAAUAUUGGACAAUGGGCGAAAGCCUGAUCCAGCCAUGCCGCGUGUGUGAAGAAGGUCUUCGGAUUGUAAAGCACUUUAAGUUGGGAGGAAGGGCAGUAAGUUAAUACCUUGCUGUUUUGACGUUACCAACAGAAUAAGCACCGGCUAACUUCGUG
rnacentral:rRNA from 1 species